rnacentral:rRNA from 1 species
ACUCAGGACGAACGCUGGCGGCGUGCCUAAUACAUGCAAGUCAACGGUCUUUCUAUGGAAGCUUGCUUCCACUGAGAAGAUAGUGGCGAACGGGUGAGUAACACGUGGGGUAACCUGCCCAUAAGAGGGGGGAGUAACAUCCGGAAACGGGUGCUAAUACCGCAUAGUUUUCUUGAUCGCAUGAUCGGGAAGGAAAGACGGCCUUUGUGCUGUCGCUUAUGGAUGGACCCGCGGCGUAUUAGUUAGUUGGUGAGGUAACGGCUCACCAAGACGAUGAUACGUAGCCGACCUGAGAGGGUGAUCGGCCACAUUGGGACUGAGACACGGCCCAAACUCCUACGGGAGGCAGCAGUAGGGAAUCUUCCGCAAUGGACGAAAGUCUGACGGAGCAACGCCGCGUGAGUGAAGAAAAGGGUUUUCGGAUCGUAAAACUCUGUUGUCAGAGAAGAACAAGUUGGAGAGUAACUGCUCCAGCCUUGACGGUAUCUGACCAGAAAGCCACGGCUAACUACGUGCCAGCCGCCGC